AUAGGAUAUCUGAAUGUUUAUUAAAUAUAAAAUGUUAAAAUUUGAUUAUGAAAGAAAUACACAUUUUAAAAAACAAUGAGAUGCCAUUGGGGGCCUAUUACUUUCAGAGAUUAAAAAGAUUGAAAAGAGCUCUGUGCAGGUAACAAGAUAUGGGCCUUCUCAAGUAUUGUUGCUAAGUGUGCAAAUUGUUUUAAUAAUCCUGGUGGGUAAUUAUUAACUUUAACAAGGUGCCAAACCCUUGAGCCAGUAUUAGUCUCAGAAAUAUCCAUGACAAUUUUGUUUGCACUAGUAAGAAAUUGAAAAUAGCCUAAACAGCAAAAGGAGAGUUGAAUAAAUAAAUUUCACUGUGGAAUUAGAAAAUGAAAUACUAUGUUGUUAAUAACGAAGGUGUUGUAGAAAACUAACAUCAUGGUAACAUUGGUACUAUAUUUUCAAGAGAGAUAAAGCAGAUUGUUAGGUAAUGAGUAGUUUGUGAACCAAUAAUGCAAAGAGAUUCUAUUUUGCCUCCCCAACCCCACAGCUCAGGUUUUUCUUCUCCUUUGGGCAACUGCUUAAAUUCAGAGGCAGCUACCAAAAGGAAACGUCUCUCUACCCCCUACUGUUUCUUCUGUGCAAAAGAAUGUAAAAUAUGAGGCUUCUCUUUCGCAUGUAGGCCUGAGAAGUUUUGACAAGAAUGUGUAUGCAGGGAGAAAUGACUGGUGAAAGAAUUUAGAAAGAAUGUAUGGGGACAAAAAGGAAUCACAUGAGCUGAUUUAAAUUCUUCUUGUGACAAGGGAGAAAACAGAAGAAAAGUUGCAACAGAGUGAAAAAUCAGGAAAACCUCAUCGAGAUAGAUAUUCUGCCAGAGACAAAACGAAACCUCAUCGAGAUAGAUAUUCUGCCAGAGAAAAAUGAGACAUCAGAUAUGUGUGAUCACAGGUCAUAGACUCAGUGAAGUGCCACUGUCACAAUGCUCUCAUGCCAAACCUUGACUGCAAAGCUGAGAUGUUAAUAUGGAACACCUGAGAGGGCUGGCACUUCAGCGUCCUUAUUCCUCCAGAACCACACCACAAAAGUCACCUUCUCCCCAGACAGAUUCUCUACAAAAUGCCUUGCAGCCGAGGUGUGGUGGAAAGAAUAUUGUAUUUGGAAUAAAAAAUUUUUGAUUUUGCA
rnacentral:lncRNA from 1 species